rnacentral:rRNA from 1 species
ACUAACAGCGUGCCGGCAGCCGCGGUAACGCGUGGGGGGCAAGCGUUGUCCGGAGUUAUUGGGCGUAAAGAGCUCGUAGGUGGCUAAGUAAGUCGGAUGUUAAAUCCCCAGGCUCAACCGGGGACACCACCCGAUACUGCUUUGGCUAGAGUCCGGUAGGGGAGCGUGGAAUUCCUGGUGUAGCGGUGAAAUGCGCAGAUAUCAGGAGGAACACCAGCGGCGAAGGCGGCGCUCUGGGCCGGUACUGACACUGAGGAGCGAAAGCGUGGGUAGCAAACAGGAUUAGAUACCCGUGUAGUC